rnacentral:rRNA from 1 species
AACGUAGGACACGAGCGUUAUCCGGAGUUACUGGGCGUAAAGGGCGUGCAGGCGGUUCUGUAAGUCUGAUGUGAAAGCGCCCGGCUUAACCGGGCGAGGACAUUGGAGACUGCAAGACUAGAGGCAGAUAGAGGGGUGUAGAAUUCCGGGUGUAGUGGUGAAAUGCGUAGAGAUCCGGAGGAAUACCAGAGGCGAAGGCGGCACCCUGGGUCUGACCUGACGCUGAGACGCGACAGCAUGGGGAGCGAACGGG